CCUACGGGAUGCACCAGUGGGGAAUAUUGCACAAUGGGCGCAAGCCUGAUGCAGCCAUGCCGCGUGUAUGAAGAAGGCCUUCGGGUUGUAAAGUACUUUCAGCGAGGAGGAAGGCGUUAAGGUUAAUAACCUUGGCGAUUGACGUUACUCGCAGAAGAAGCACCGGCUAACUCCGUGCCAGCAGCCGCGGUAAUACGGAGGGUGCAAGCGUUAAUCGGAAUUACUGGGCGUAAAGCGCACGCAGGCGGUCUGUCAAGUCGGAUGUGAAAUCCCCGGGCUCAACCUGGGAACUGCAUUCGAAACUGGCAGGCUAGAGUCUUGUAGAGGGGGGUAGAAUUCCAGGUGUAGCGGUGAAAUGCGUAGAGAUCUGGAGGAAUACCGGUGGCGAAGGCGGCCCCCUGGACAAAGACUGACGCUCAGGUGCGAAAGCGUGGGGAGCAAACAGGAUUAGAUACCCUUGUAGUC
rnacentral:rRNA from 1 species